UACGAAGGGAGCUAGCGUUGUUCGGAAUUACUGGGCGUAAAGCGCACGUAGGCGGACUGUUAAGUCAGGGGUGAAAUCCCGGGGCUCAACCUCGGAAUUGCCUCUGAUACUGGCAGUCUCGAGUUCGGGAGAGGUUGGUGGAAUUCCUAGUGUAGAGGUGAAAUUCGUAGAUAUUAGGAAGAACACCAGUGGCGAAGGCGGCCAACUGGCCCGAUACUGACGCUGAGGUGCGAAAGCGUGGGGAGCAAACAGG
rnacentral:rRNA from 1 species